AUUGAACGCUGGCGGCAUGCCUUACACAUGCAAGUCGAACGGUAACAGGUCUUCGGAUGCUGACGAGUGGCGAACGGGUGAGUAAUACAUCGGAACGUGCCUAGUAGUGGGGGAUAACUACUCGAAAGAGUGGCUAAUACCGCAUGAGAUCUACGGAUGAAAGCAGGGGAUCGCAAGACCUUGUGCUACUAGAGCGGCCGAUGGCAGAUUAGGUAGUUGGUGGGAUAAAAGCUUACCAAGCCGACGAUCUGUAGCUGGUCUGAGAGGACGAUCGGCCACACUGGGACUGAGAAACGGCCCAGACUCCUACGGGAGGCAGCAGUGGGGAAUUUUGGACAAUGGGCGCAAGCCUGAUCCAGCAAUGCCGCGUGCAGGAUGAAGGCCUUCGGGUUGUAAACUGCUUUUGUACGGAACGAAAAGCCCUGGGUUAAUACCCUGGGGUCAUGACGGUGCCGUAAGAAUAAGCACCGGCUAACUACGUGCCAGCCGCCGCCGUAAUAC
rnacentral:rRNA from 1 species